AUGCUCACUUCGGCAGCACAUAUGCUAAAAUAGGAACGAUACAGAGAAGAUUAGCAUGGCCCCUGCGCGAGGAUGACAUGCAAAUUCGUGAAGUGUUCCAUAUUUUU
rnacentral:snRNA from 1 species